rfam:Pteropus alecto contig74746, whole genome shotgun sequence.
AUUUUCCUCUAUCUGAUCUUGGAAGCUAAGCAAGGUCGGGCCUGGUUAGUACUUGGCUGGGAGACCACCUAGGAAGACCAGGUGCUGUAGGUG